GUGACCUGCAACCAUUAGGUCGACUUGUCUCUCCCUGUGAGCUUACAAAUAAACAGUCACUAACUCAAGAACAACAACCUGCCAGAAGGUGAAGUUAUUGCAAAGGACUCACCAUGUGGAUUCUGCUGCUCUGGUCAAAUUCGACAGGCGACACCCUUGUCCACGGAUCACACCACAUUCCAUACAGCAAAAAUAAGAUCCUGGCAAUAUGGUUCAAACUUGGAAGAGCACAGUUUAUUUAUAUCUACCCACUGGGAAGCUUAAACAGACACCGAAAUUAAUACCUGCUCCUGGAAAGUCCAACUUCAAGCAGAAUUCCAGACAGGACAGUUCUUAUUACCAAAAGCAAAUCAAAACAGGGAAAUGUCAGAAAGAACUGAAAGCAUCUUUACAAACCACUACAGGCCAAAAUAAUCCAUGAGCAAUUAAGGCAGUGAUGACUAAAUAUACUAUAACUCAGAGUGAAAUUAACUUUCGAAAAGCUGUGAAAACAACCUAAAUCGUUGCUAUCAUUUCUGGAUAGCACUAAAGCAAAUUUGCAAAAAGUUAAAAGAUGACAGCAUUUGCCUUUCUUUGCUUUCCCUAACAUACAUUAAUGACCUAGCCUUUCUUGUACAGGAGGUAAUUACAAUGCUUGCAGAUGAAGCAAAACUUGGAAGCAUUCUGAAUUGUGUGGAAGACAGUGUAGAUUUUCUAAAGAUUAGACUAGUUGACAGAAUAGACAAAGAAGUCACAGAUAAAGUUCAAUGUGGAGAAAUGACAACUGCUUAAUUGAUAGGAAGGAUAUGAAGAGAUCACAUAAAAUACCUUUGUAUGCCAGAAGUUUAAAAAAAAAACUCUAAACUAAAUGAUAUUUAUUACACACCUUACAUCACAAUGGACAUUUGGCAGUUUCAGCAUGGGAUGUCACAAAUGGUUCUGGAUAUUAUACAAUCAUCAGCUAAUGUCUUCACUUCCGGCCUCAUCGUAGAAAGAAGGUCUUUGAAGCAGCUGGAGAUGGUCUGUGGAGAAUACUAUUCUCCAAACUUCUUACAAAGAUGUUGGAGCUAAAAUGAUUGGUCUCCAACAGCCACAAUGUCAUCUCUGAAGCUCAGUUAUUUUGUUCAGGGUUGCAACAAAAGUGUAACACUGCCAGAAAUUGUGACCUUGGUGGAAUCCAAACUGAACAUCAAUUAAACAGGUUAUUACUAAAUUGCACAAUUUUCCCAGAAUGCACCAACUUGGAGGAAGAUAAAUCUUGAGGUUUGUUGGACCUGAUUCAAAUACCAUUUCUCCACUUGAUGUUCUAUCUGUUAGAUAUCCUUCACAUGGGCAACAUUCCUUGUACAUCUAAUUUGUCCUCUACUUUAUUUGGAAGAAUCUUAACUUUGAAUUCACUUUAGGACAAUAACACUCGCUCCUACAUCAAACUCAAAAUUGACAGUAAACAGACAUUGCUAGAGAAACUCAACAGGUCUGCUAACAUCUGUGAAGAGAAAGCAUGGUUAAUAUUUUGAAUCCAUUGACCCUUCUCCAAACAUCGUCUUACAGUUCAACAAAUGUAAUAUUCCUUUGUCAUGUUUGAACAUUUUCUGUGCCUGUGAGGCCUUCUUAUUCCACUGUACUGACAUUGGUUCAUUGUAUCUGUGUUUGGUUUAGUCAUAGUAUUGACUUGUCAAGUGCCUCUUUAGAAUUUCCUCACUUUAUAAAAUGAAUGGACCCUGUUGUUCUCCUAGGUAGGUCUUCAUCUCUCAUGAUGUCUUUGACUCUUUCUGGUUUUUGCCUCCUACACAACCCGUAUUGUUUUCUCCAAAGUUAACUCUUACUUGAACUGUAGAAAAGCUUAUAAAGUUUGAUCAAUAAAUCCAACAAUAAUUUUCUCUUUAAUUAAUUCUGAUUUCAAAGCUCUACAGUCAGUUUUCCUUAAUCUGUAGAGGCCAUUAAUGAAAUUAUUUACCAAUUUCCCUGGAAAUUGAACUCUUCUGUUCAAUCUUGCUUUUUCAAGGAUUUUACCAGUUCUUAAACUGAGUAAUAAUCAGAAGUUUUUAAGACAUUUUCAAAAGUAUCUGUACCCUCUUUAAUGUUAUGUUGAUUGUGACACUACUCUGCCUUUAACAGAUAUAUUCUGGUCUGUUUCGCUUACAGAGGGGAGUUAUCACAGUGGUGCUGAAAUAUCUCCUUCAGAUCGGUAGUUGGUAAACCUCUUUGAGUUCUCCCUUUUCUUUAAAGUAAGACAAAUGAAUCAUGAGUCGAUGGACUCAAGUUCACACAGACCAAUAGAAUUUUCAUUUUGCUUUGGAGGGUUUUACUGGCUGCUGGAGCUGAAGGACUGAGUCAAAUUUCUUAAAUUGAGUAAUGAUCAGAAGUUUUUAAGACAUCUUCAACAGUAUCUGUACCCUUUAAAAUAUUAUGUUCAUUGUGAUGAUACUGUACCUUUAAGAGAUAUGUUCUGCUAUUAGAGGAAAGUUUUAGUCAGAGAGGCUUCCUCUUAAACAACAAAAGAGACAGAUUGUUUCUUUCUACUGGUC